rnacentral:lncRNA from 1 species
ACACAUGAGGCUUCUUCUUCGUAGGCUUUAGAGACUACGACAACAGCUCCAAGAAAGAUGACUCCAAGAAAGGCGAAGAGAAAGUUGUGAAAUUGACUUUUUAAAGACACUUAGAGAAAGAUGUUAGUGCAGCAAUAAACUGUUAGUGAAAUUGUCUUUUACAUAUGCAGAUGUCUUGGAACUAGUAGUUAUUUUUUGUCACAGACAUUAUAGUUAUACAUUGUCAGGUUCGUAGAAUGAUAGCAGGACCACUAUGAAUAUAUGCUGCCAUUGUUUCAAGACUGUAAGCCAUUGUUUUCUAUGGGGUCAUUCUUUCUCCUUUGAAAUGAUAAUUUGAAAGGAUAUUGUACAUUGUCAGGUUCAUUCUUUCUCCUUUUACAGAGGCAUGAGGCCAAGUACUUUUAUUCUGCUGGGUACAGAGGCAUGAGGCCAAGUAGUUUUAGCAUUAGCAUUGCUCUUGGGUCAUUUUUCUCUUUAUAUCGGACAGUACUCUGCUGGAUACAGAGGCUUCUCAGAUUGCUUGCAAGAGAUCUGCCUCAUGUUCAGGUUGCUCGCAGGGUUCUCACCGCUGCUUGAUUUGGCGUGCAGGGAUCUGCUCUUAUUCUGUGAACAAACCGGACAGUACUCUCUGAAGAAACGAACCAACAGAUGCAAAUUGGGAAGGGGGCAAUACAGUCAGAUUAUUAGGUGAGGAAAAGGAAAUAAUUAGAAAACAGGUUAGAAUACUAUUUUAGAGAGCAAUAACACUUAUAAAUACUAUUAUAGAGAAGGUUAUAUUUAGAGUACCAUAAGAAAGAAACAUGUUAAUAAGAGUACUAUAAUAGCAAAAAACUCUAGGGAGGAUUAAGAAACAUUCAGACAAUAGACAAUUUACCUAUUCUUCUGUACCGGCGGGGUUAACAUUUGGUAACACCGUAGCAGGCAUCCGCCGAUCCUCGGCUCCGAUCAAUGGCGUCCACCAACGCAAUCGAUUUCCAACUCACCCAGGCCCGGGCGCUGCUGUCCGAAUUCGACAACCGG